CGGGGCGUAGCGCAGCCUGGUAGCGCACUUGCAUGGGGUGCAAGGGGUCGAAGGUUCGAAUCCUUCCGUCCCGA
rnacentral:tRNA from 2 species